UUUUUUAAUUGAGGUAACAUUGGUUUAUGACAUGUUUCAUGUGUACCUUAUAGACUGACUUCUGUAGACACUGCAGUGGGUUCACCACCCGAAACUUAGUUUCCAUCCAUCGCCCUACAGCUCACCCCUUUAGGCAUUUUGCCCUCCACCGUUUCCCUCUAGUAUCCACUACCCCGUUGUCUGUAUCUAUGGGUCUGUUCUGGUUUAUGCUUGGUUUGUUCAUUUCUUUUGUUUUAUUUUAAUGCCAUUUACGAGUGAAAUCGUCGACUCUUUGUCUUUCUCUGUCUGACUUAUUUCAUUUAGAAUACCCUCAAGGUCCAUCCAUGUUGUUGCAAGUGGCAAGAUUUCAUCUUUUCAUGGCCGAGUAAUAUUCCAUUGCCUACAAACAACACCACAUCUUUAGCUAUUCACCCAUAAGGGGACACUUUUAGGCCUGUUGCUUCCAUGUCUUGCCUAUUGUACUGGCUAUUGUACUGGCUAUUGUAUUGGCUGCAAUGAACAUUGAGGUGCAUGUAUCUUUUCAAAAUACAGUUAAAGCUCAAGGCUCUUCUGAGCAUUAGUCCCUCAGCCAAUGUACUGGUCACACAUCCAUGAAGCAGGUGAGAUUGGACAGAGGAGUGUGGAGCCCCAGAAGCCAAGCGAAAAAACAUGUUUCGAAGAGAAGAGAAUGGCUCGUUAACUGGGUCAAGGACAUGAGCCAGCUGGCCUGAGGACAGACCAUCGGAUGUGACCAGGUUGAUGCCACUGUGUUGCUGAGAGUAGCUCCUAGCACGGGGUGGGGACAAAAGCCCUGACUGGCUGGGUUCAAGCAGGAAGAGAGAAAGUAGACAGAGUGGGGAGGUGGACAGCUUUGGAGGGGGUUUUGCUAUAAUGAAGGCACGAUCCAGAGGCCGUUAUGGAAUCAAGCAGGGAUUAUUAUUAUUCAUUAUUGUUAUCGCCUAUUUGUAUAUUGAUGAAAUUAUUCUAUAGAGACUAGAACAUUCAUAAGGCAAGAAAGGAAGGGAGCCUUGGCAGGAGAGGUGUCCUUGAGCAGCAGGUGUGUGGAAGGAGUUGACCUUCUGUGGGGGGAUCGUUGGUUCAUGGGGUGAGGAAGGAAGCCCAGCCUAGGCCUGGCGGGGCUGGGCAGAAUUCUUGUCCUGACAACUACCAUCUCAGGGAAAUGGGCAGUAAUGCCAGGGCAUCUAUGGGAUGGGGGGGGCGCCCUCGGACUUUUUCCAUUUUAUCUCACUUUUUUAUUGCUUAUUGAACCCACUACAUUGGCUUCUUGAACCACAAAUGAAUCUUGACCUGGCGUUUGUAAAGCACUGGAUGUCUAAUGACAAUGGAGAUGGACCAGUUCCUGGAGGCAGUGAUGGGGGCAGGUUAAAUGCAGUUAGAUGCGGGCAGGUUAGAUGCAGUGAUGGGGGAAGGUUAGACGCAUACCUCUUACCUGAGAUAAGAAAAGUUCCUUUUUAAGGCAGGUCGAGUUGGAGUUUCCCUCCUUGCUGCCAAAAAGCAUCAGGACUGAAUUAUAGGACGAGGCUACAGCAGUGCAAGAGGUCCAGGCAGAAGGCUAUACCCAAGCCAAGAGAGACAGCUUCGAUGGACCCCCCGGAACUGGGGAGGGGGGCUGGAGACCUAGGAGGUUCUAUGGGGCACCCGAAAGUGGAGCAAGGACCCAAGAUGUACCAUCAGGCCAUUUCCCAGCAGGUAACGUGGUAUUCUCGGCUGAUUAUACCAGCUGGAGAGUGGAACGGCCCCUACCGGGGUCUGACCCCACCAUGUAUUAGCUAUGUUCCCUCAGACACCUCUGUAUCAGCUUCCUUCUCUGCCGUGCGAGGAAACACCUGCCUCCAGGGCUACCAGGUGGACCGAUGAAGUCAUCCUUGCCAGAUGUGGAGCACAAAGCCUGGCGAUGCUGAGAAAGUGCCUCGUAUGAAUAUUAUUCUCCUUCCUCUGCUACCUGGUGGCCAUGUCCUCCCACCCUCCACUUCCCUCCAUUCCUCCCUAUCUGACUUCCACACGUCCUUGAAGAGGCAAACUUAGGCAUCACCUCCUCCAUGAAGCCCUCCCUGCUUUCCUCCCAUCCCAGGUCUGGGUAGAUGCCUUCUUUGUGCUUCUCCCAGCUGAAGUUUUGAAAUCUGCCUCCCAGCGCCUAUGACAGCAGGUGGCACAUGAUAGGUUCUCAGUGAUGGUUGAACAAAUGAGGGAGUGAACGAACGAGUGGACAAAGCGGGGACUGGGUUUUAGGAACAAGGUAGAGAUUGACUCGUCAAAAUUGGGGAUCGAGGGGCAAGUGAUGAGAGGAGCUCAUAGUGGAUUUCCUGAUGCCUCCUCCCACACACAUUCUCGAUCCUUUGGUCUCGAGCCAUUUUUCACUCAUGCAGCAAGUAUUGCUGAGUUCCUAUUAUAUUCCACACCCUGUUCUUGACACUAAAGAUACAGAAGUAAACAAGAUAUUCAUAAUUCUUCCUCUCUUUGUACCUGUUAUGUUCUAGUAGCAGAAACAGACACACAGGAAAUACAUAAAAUACAAGAUAGUUUCAGAUCAAGGGAAGUACUAGGAAGAAAAUAAAAGCAUGAAGAAAGAGAAAGGGAUCAGGACAGAAAGUUCCUUUCAAUGAGAGAGUCAGAGAAGAUAUUUAAACUAAGGUAGGAGUUCCCUGGCGGUAAGGGUCUGGCAUGGUCACUACUAUGGCUCGGGUCGUGGCUGUGGUGCAGGUUCAAUCCCUGGCCUGGGAACUUUCACAUGCAAGGGUACAACCAAAAAAAAGGAAAAGAAAGGAAUGAUGAGAACGAGGAAGGCAGGCCAAGUCCUGAGGAAGAGCCGUCCACUCAGAGGGGACAGGCAGCAAGUGCAAAGGUCCUGAGGCAGGCUUGGUGUGUUAGAGAAACUGAAAGGAACAAGAAAGUGGUGCCUCGGAAGCCGGGUGGAGGAGGAGAAUGUAGGUCAAGGUAACACAAGAGCAAUAAGGAGCUUUUAGAGAUGUAGGCAGGUUUUAAACAUGAUCUCACUUAUGUUUUUAAAAAGAAGCAAUCAUCUGGCCACGACCUUAAGAAAUGACUUUGGGUGGCAGGGGAUGCAGGGAGUAGCAGGGAGCCAGUGAGGAGGCUUUCAUGGUUGUCCAGGUAAGAAGCAACAGUGGCUUUGACUAGAAAAGACACAUGUUCUCCAAUGUUCAUGGCAGCACUAUUUGCAAUAGCCAAGACAUGGAAACAACCUAAAUGUCCAUCGACAGAGGAGCGGAUCAAGAAGAUGUGGUACAUCUACACAGUGGAAUAUUACUCAGCCAUUAAAAGGAGAGAUAACAGCAUUUUUAGCAACAUGGAUGGACCUAGAAAUUAUCAUGCUAAGUGAAGUCAGUCAGACAAUGAGACACCAACAUCAAAUGCUAUCAGUGACAUGUGGAAUCUUAAAAAGAGACACAAUGAACUUUUUGGCAGAACAGAUACUGACUCACAGACUUUGAAAACCUUAUGGUUUCCAAAUGAGACAGGUUGGGAGGUAGGGGGAUGCACUGAGGGUUUGGGAUGGACAGGCUGUAAAAUUUGGUUGUGAUGUUUGUUGUACACCUAUAAAUGUAAUAAAAUUUAUUCAGUAAUAAGAACAAAAGAAGCAAUGGUGGUUUAAACAAGAGCAGUGGCAGCAGAGGCGGAAGGAAGCAUGGGCUCUAUUUUGGAAGAAGAGACAACAGGAUGUUGUGAACCUGCCAGGGAAACAAGGGGUCCCAGCCAUGAGGACACAGGCCAGGGAGGCAGCUAUUUUCUUCCCAGCUUGACUCUGGUUUGGCCCUGCCUGAGCUGCCCACGCUCUGAGCCCUGCUCCCGUGGUAUCUACCUUUCGUCCCCCAUCCAGCCGCCAACCGUGGGUGGACAUCUGCUGCCCUGGAACCUUUCUCCUGCCUCCCUGCCUUCUGUAGCUAACACCUGCUUGCAGAGUUAUUUACCACCAUUCUCUCUCCUAGGGAUUUCUGCAGCGCCUGCCUCCGUCUGAAGACAUCUGCCUUCUAUUAACGUAAAGAAAAUACCAGCGGCCAGCUCCAGCUCUGCCCAGUGUUCUGCCAUCGGCAAAGGGACUUUGUGUGUGCUGCGUCUCCUUUGGGACUCAGACAUCGUCAUAAUGGCUAAUGUUUAUUGAGCACUCACGAGGCACCAGACCGAGCUAAGUGCUUCACUUGCGGUCAGGGGUUGAAUUGUGUUCCCACAAAAGACAGGUGCAAGCCCUCACCCCCCAGUACCCGUGACAAUGCCCUUAUUUGGAAACAGGGUCUUGGCAGGUGGCAUCAAGUUAAGAUGAGGUCACUAGGGCAGGUCCUCAUCCAGUCUGACUGGUGACAUUAUAAAUAGAGAAGAGACAGACAGACGUGCAGAAGAAAGGCUGUGUUAGCAACAGAAGCAGAGAUUGCAGCAACGCUUUACAAAGCACAGAGCGCCUGCGUCUUACGCCCAAAGAUAUAACAUGCCUUGGGGCUAAGAACCAGGAGGUGGAACCAGGAACGGUUCCUCCCAGACCCCUGGAUUCCUAACUCCCUCCCCAACACAAGCUCGCCUCUCUCUCUCAUUCUUCCACGUCAGCGCCUCACUUUUUUAUUUUUUUAUUUUUCAUUUUUCAGCCUUGCCCAUGACAUGCAGAAGUUCCACUGGCUAGGGAUCCAACCCGCGCCCCAGCAGCGACCUAGGUUGCAGCAGUGACGAUGCCGGAUCCUUAAAUCGCUGCACCACAAGAGAACCCCACGCCUCACUUUUGAACCACGAUUACUGUCUAUAAAGGGUCUUCAGCUCACUUCUGCAUUCGCUGCUCCCAGAGCCCGUGAGGCAAGCUGGGAGACCCUCCACUCAGAAAGGAGGAAGCUGAGUCAGAGGCCAAGGGCAUCACCCAGCUCAGGACGCCAGACCCAAGCUGCCUCAUCCCUUUGGCCACUCUGACCCCUCUCCAAAGCCCCCACUGCGCGUCACCAGAAGGGCAGGUUCUUAGAGAUGCAAAGGGCCCGCCUGGGCCUUAGAGUCAGACAAGCCAAGCUAGAGGGGGCUGCUGGAGUCACCUAGUCCAAACCAUGUGCAAACAGAGAGCGAAACGCUGAAUAACCCAAAAGGAACCAGAGUGACUACUUCAUAAAGCAUUCCAACCCCGUCAGAUAAAACAAUUUCCGAGUAUCGGACUGUCAUCUAAAUUCCCGUUUCCGAGUUCCCAUUGUGGCGCAACGGGAUCAGAAGCAUCUUGGGAGAUCUGGGAUCCAGAUCCCAGCCCGCACAGUGGGUUAAGGGCACAGCAUUGCCGCAGCUGCGGUUUAGGUUGCGACUGUGGCUCGAAUCUAAUCCCUGGCCCAGGAGCUCCAUAUGCCACAGGGCAGCCAAAAAAGAAAAAAAAAAAAAAAAAAAAA
rnacentral:lncRNA from 9 species